AGAAAACAAAAUCAUUUUCGAAGGACCAAAUUGUAAUUACUCUCCAAAAUUUUUAAUAGCAAUCAGGCCCCUCCUUCUAAAAGCCCAAACCAAACACAUGUACAGUUUCUCAAACCCCUCUUCUUCAGACACGGAAUCACGAGACGCAAACGCAACUCAAAGUGGUAAAAGGGCCAAAUGGCAUUGUGCUUUCCCUCGACGCCCCAAAAGUUGUUGAUGACUGUGGGAUUGUUCCUGGGUGGUUCAUCCUUAUUUGGUGUUGGUUUGUAUUUUUCUUAUGUACAUGUUGCUCCUCAACAAGCGCGGAUACAAGCACGAAAUGAUUAUGUAAGAGAUAGGUUGAAAAAGAAAUAUGGGUAUGACAUGUAUAAUACCCAGCCCAAAAAAGAUUAAGUUUACUUGAUGAUGAUGCUGAUGCAGUUUGAUCAAUUCAACAAUGCAGCGCCUUUUUUGGUAGAUUCUACAGUCGCAUGGAUGCUUCACCGCAAUAAGAAAGAUAUAUAUUUUUUUCAUUAUUAAAGAUUAAAUCAUUCAUGUAAAAGAUAUAAGAGAAAGACUUGGAUAGUGAUACAGAACCCUUAUUUUCUGUACAUGUUGGAUUUUAGAUUAUUGAUCACUGUGCAGGUAAAUACAUGUAGCUUUCUUAAGAUUUCUGAUGUAAAUGCACAGGAGUGAUUAUUGAUUUGA